ACCAGAAGUUGGAUUCAUUAUCUAUUUUGGAGACUGACUGAAAAUGAGAAUGAAGAUGUAAGGAUGGAAGUGGAUUCGCAAACUUGGGUAACUGGAAACUUGUUCAUGCUAUUUACAAAAGUGGGAAAAGAAGCAUUUCAGCAACAUAAUGCUGAUAGAAGUGCAAUUUCAAAUAGAAUCCAAAAGAGGACAACAAAGCCAGUGAAGAGUCCAAAAUCGACAUUAAGUGAUAAAAAUCUGAAGGAGAUUGGAAUGCAUAGCCAGGAAGAAUAAAUGACAUAAGGAUGAAAGUAACUAUCUUCAGGUAUCUGAGGGACUUCUGUUUGGAGGAGAAAUUGAACUUAAUCUAGUUAAUUCUAGAAACAAGAACUAGAAUCAAAGAGUCAUCAGCAA
rnacentral:lncRNA from 1 species